CUCAUCCCCGCGGCACCGCGCUCACUCACUUACACCGAUCACGGCAGGACUACUGGCGACGCGGUCACGGAAAAUAACAACCGGACACAAACGAGUCCCGCAAAAUGUAUUUUUAAACUAAGGUUAGAGAGACGGCUGACAGCAUCUUCGUCAUCUCUAACCGUCACUCCCGCCACAGAUCUGAAGCAAGUGCAAAGGCAGCGAGGGGUGGUGUGAUGUCAUUGGCAUCAGGAAGGCUGCUCUACUAAUAUGGGCCUGAACUGAAGAACAAUAUCAGUCACUCAAGCUAUGAUCCUGGCAGAUCUAGUAUCUGAAAAGAAGACUCAGCUGAUUUUUUUCAAGACACACAAGAUGGAGCGUGGAGAGACCGGACAGUUCCCACAGUGCUAGUUUUUCAGCACCCACACCCCACACACAAAUUCACAUAGAAGUUUUCAAUAAUAAAAAGUUUAUAAGAUAGUUCCUAUUUAGCUAUGAAGUUAUAGUUCAUUGUCAUAAAUAUUAAACUAAAUAUUAAAGUCCCCCUGUAGUGAAAAUCAGUUUUUUAUGUUGUUUAUUUGUCUUUGUGGUUUUAAAUAUUGCUACGUCACAAUCCGAUAACCACAAUAAUCACAUCAAAGAAUCAAUUCCUAUUAUUAGCAUGCAAAAUAUACCA